GAUGAAGAACGUAGCGAAAUGCGAUAAGUAAUGUGAAUUGCAGAAUUCCGUGAAUCAUCGAAUCUUUGAACGCACAUUGCGCCCCCUGGCAUUCCGGGGGGCAUGCCUGUCCGUGCGUCAUUUCUGCCCUCCAGCCCGGCUGGGUGUUGGGCGCUGUCCCCCCGGGGACACGCCCCAAAGGCAGUGGCGGCGCCGCGUCGGGUCCUCGAGCGUAUGGGGCUUUGUCACCCGCUCGGGACGGACUCGUCGGCGCUGGUCUUCCUCCAGGCGACCCUUCGGGGCUCGUCUUCCUUCGGUUGACCUCGGAUCAGGUAGGGUUACCCGCUGAACUUAAGCAUAUCAAUAAGCGGAGGA
rnacentral:misc_RNA from 1 species